rnacentral:misc_RNA from 1 species
GAUGAAGAACGUAGCGAAACGCGAUAGGUAAUGUGAAUUGCAGAAUUCAGUGAAUCAUCGAAUCUUUGAACGCACCUUGCACCCUUUGGCAUUCCGAAGGGUAUGCUCGUUUGAGUGUCAUUGUACUCUCACACUCCCAAUUGCUUUGGAUUGGGAGCGGUGGACUUGGGUGUUGCUGCUUGACUGAGGCUCACCUGAAAUAUGUUAGUGCACCUCUUGAUUGGACAUAGUACGGCGUGAUAAGUGUCUUCGCCGGCUCCUCGCAAAGAGGGUGGCCGAUCGGGAGCUCUGUUGCUUCAAACUGUCUUCGGACAAUCUUCUGGCGACUUGACCUCAAAUCGAGUAGGACUACCCGCUGAACUUAAGCAUAUCAUAAGCGGAGGA